AUGGCCUGGGGGCACUGGGCCCCUGGGUCCUCCAGACCACUGACAUCUCUUUAAAUGACUCAGCUCGGCCCUGGUUCUCGUCUCACCAGUGGCAUUGUCUGUGUGGUGAGAACUGCUUGAGCUGUGCAGGCUCCAGCAGGAACUGUAGCAGGUGUAAGACGGGCUUCACACAGCUGGGGACCUCCUGCAUCACCAACCACACGUGCAGCAACGCUGACGAGACAUUCUGCGAGAUGGUGAAGUCCAACCGGCUGUGCGAACGGAAGCUCUUCAUUCAGUUCUGCUGCCGCACGUGCCUCCUGGCCGGGUAAGGGUGUCUAGCUGCCCACAGAGGGCAG
rnacentral:sRNA from 1 species